rnacentral:rRNA from 1 species
UGGUUGUCGUCAGCUCGUGUCGUGAGAUGUUGGUUAGUACCCGCAACGAGCGCAACCCUCGACCUUAGUUGCCAGCAUUCAGUUGGGCACUCUAAGGUGACUGCCGGCUAAAAGUCGGAGGAAGGUGGGGAUGACGUCAAAUCAUCAUGCCCCUUAUGACCUGGGCUACACACGUGCUACAAUGGCAUAUACAAAGAGAAGCGAACUCGCGAGAGCAAGCGGACCUCAUAAAGUAUGUCGUAGUCCGGAUUGGAGUCUGCAACUCGACUCCAUGAAGUCGGAAUCGCUAGUAAUCGUAGAUCAGAAUGCUACGGUGAAUACGUUCCCGGGCCUU